CCUACGGGUGGCUGCAGUGGGGAAUAUUGGACAAUGGGGGGAACCCUGAUCCAGCCAUGCCGCGUGUGUGAAGAAGGCCCUCGGGUUGUAAAGCACUUUCAGUGAGGAAGAACGCCUGGUGGUUAAUACCCAUCAGGAAAGACAUCACUCACAGAAGAAGCACCGGCUAACUCCGUGCCAGCAGCCGCGGUAAUACGGAGGGUGCGAGCGUUAUCGGAAUUACUGGGCGUAAAGCGCGCGUAGGUGGCUUGAUAAGCCGGUUGUGAAAGCCCCGGGCUCAACCUGGGAACGGCAUCCGGAACUGUCAAGCUAGAGUGCAGGAGAGGAAGGUAGAAUUCCCGGUGUAGCGGUGAAAUGCGUAGAGAUCGGGAGGAAUACCAGUGGCGAAGGCGGCCUUCUGGACUGACACUGACACUGAGGUGCGAAAGCGUGGGUAGCAAACAGGAUUAGAUACCCGUGUAGUC
rnacentral:rRNA from 1 species